rnacentral:rRNA from 1 species
CAACCCGGGAUUGCCUUAGUAACGGCGAGUGAAGCGGCAAAAGCUCAAAUUUGAAAUCUGGUACCUUCGGUGCCCGAGUUGUAAUUUGGAGAGGGCAACUUUGGGGCCGUUCCUUGUCUAUGUUCCUUGGAACAGGACGUCAUAGAGGGUGAGAAUCCCGUGUGGCGAGGAGUGCGGUUCUUUGUAAAGUGCCUUCGAAGAGUCGAGUUGUUUGGGAAUGCAGCUCUAAGUGGGUGGUAAAUUCCAUCUAAAGCUAAAUAUUGGCGAGAGACCGAUAGCGAACAAGUACAGUGAUGGAAAGAUGAAAAGAACUUUGAAAAGAGAGUGAAAAAGUACGUGAAAUUGUUGAAAGGGAAGGGCAUUUGAUCAGACAUGGUGUUUUGUGCCCUCUGCUCCUUGUGGGUAGGGGAAUCUCGCAUUUCACUGGGCCAGCAUCAGUUUUGGUGGCAGGAUAAAUCCAUAGGAAUGUAGCUUGCCUCGGUAAGUAUUAUAGCCUGUGGGAAUACUGCCAGCUGGGACUGAGGACUGCGACGUAAGUCAAGGAUGCUGGCAUAAUGGUUAUAUGCCGCCCGUCUUGAACCCGGG